AUUUGAUUUUGUUUAUGAUGCAAAUUAACUUCGGUAUUCUAAGCUCUUGCCACUUGUCAGCUUGUGGCAGUUUCCUUCAUUCUGUGUCUGUGUGUCAUUGCAUGGUGACGCUUCGCAUGGUGACUUUCCAGUAGUCAAUGUCAUUGAAGUUGUUGUUUCCGCUUCCUCCUGAGUGCAGCUGUGUUUCUGUGUUUUCAAGUCGGGCACUGUUUGGCGAGCCUUCCACCUCCCCCGUCUUCGUUGUUGGCGCUUCCACUCAGGUACUGUGCGAGAGGGUGGAGGGGAGCCUGAAUACAGAAGAGGUACUCACUGGUCUCAGGAUAAACUCCCCCACAGGCAUCCCAGAGUGUGGAGCUGAUGCCCUUCGGUCCACCCUAUGCUCCACCAGCUUCAAGAAACCGUCACCCCAAACAAUGAGUGGUGGAGGGUGCGUUCUGCGUUGACAGCCAGCAUGAGCGGUGACAGGAGCCAUGGGUGCCUUGCCUCCUCGCACCACCACCACAAGCACCGCCACUACUGCCAUCACCUACAAGGGGGAGACUGUGAUGUGGCUGCAGGUGGAUAGGUUCGGAGGCCUCCAGAGAGCUGCCCAGAGUGAAGCUUGUGGUAUAGAGGGACAGCUGCUGAUUAUCAAGCUUAUGGAGUGACUGGAAGAAAGUGGGAGGAGCCUGGAGGGAGUGGUGGAGGUACAGUACUUGGAGAAAAUCCCUCCACCAUGAUGACUGGGUGUCUGCUGUACAGACCACUGACCAAUGGUGAGAGAGGGAGAGAGACUGGCUAAUGGUGGAUGAGAGAGAGAGAGAGAGAGAGAGAGAGAGAGAGAGAGUCUUGAUAAAUAAUAUUGGGCACAGGCUUCACCACUGGGUCGACUGUGAGGGCUGCGUUCUUCUGCUAGGGAAGUAUUGGCUGGUUGGUGGCCGCGGCUGUUCACACACUCACUCUUGCUGUGGCUGGCAUGCUGUUCUGUCCUCUCUUGUUGCAGGAAUUGCUGUCUGAGGUGUGUGUGUGUGUGUGUGUGUGUGUAGAAGCCACCAUCAUCAACCACAGCAGGUGAUAAUGAUGGUUCCUGCUUUCAUCCUCAUCGGGGCUAGCCAGACCAACUUGGGGCUGUACUCUGGGGUGACGCUGUAUGCCUCAGGUGUAUCUGGAGGGCUGAGAUAGUGAGAAGGUAACAAUUAAAAAGGACUAGUGUACACUUAAACCAUUACAAACACUAUAUAAUGCUGGUAUACACACACAAACACUGGUAUACACAUAGAGACAUAUACAAACACUUGCUAUGGUUUGUAUACUCUUAGAAACACACAUAAACUCUUAAUAAGUCUGGUAUACACACAAACUUGUAUACAAACACUAGUAUAUAUUUAGAGACACAUCCAAAUCUUUGCUAAGUCUGAUAUAAACACACAAACUCAUAAGAGAUGCUGGUAUAUGCUCGGAAAUCUAUACACAUUAGGUAAGACUAUUAUACACAAAUCUAUACAUAUAUUAGGAAUUUAUUGAAUGAUUGAGAUGAUUAGUACUCUCUCUCUCUCUCUCUCUCUCUCUCUCUCUCUCUCUCUCUCUCUCUCUCUCUCUCUCUCUCUCUCUCUCUCUCUCUCUCUUUCUCUUUCUCUUUCUCUUUCUCUUUCUCUCAUAUCCUUUGUCUAUCUCAAAUUUUCUCUUUUAAUCUCUCCCUCUCUGUCUGUCUGUCUCUCUGUCUGUCUGUCUGUCUGUCCCACACUUCAAUACACCCUUCCUGUCUUCAUACACCUUAGUACACCCUUCCUGUCUGUCCCUGGACCUUAAUACACCCUGUAUCACCCUUGCAUCUCAUUAAACUAUCCCUAUUUGUCCAUCUCAAUAAACCCUGUCUAAUUUCCCUGUCCGGCUGUUUGUCUCAUCUUAUUACACCCUGUCUCUCCCUGCUUCUUGUUGCACCCUUCCUUUCCCCUACACCUCAAUACUCCCUUCCCACCCUGUGUCAUGUGUAUAUAUUUAAGUAUUUAUAUUCAUUUGUGGCAUUCUUCAUGUGUUUGGGUCAGUUUUGGGUGUGUUUGGGUGUGUUUUGGGGUGUUUUGUGGUGUUUUGGUCAGUUUUGGGUGUGUUUUGGGGUGUUUUGGGGUGUUUUGGGUGUGUUUUGGUCAGUUUUGGGUGUGUUUGGGUGUAUUGGGGUGUUUUGGUCUGUUUUGGGUGUGUUUUGGGGUGUUUUGGGUGUGUUUGGGUAUGUUUUGGUGUGUUUUGGGGUGUUUUGGGUGUGUUUGGGUGUGUUUUGGGGUGUUUUGGUCUGUUUUGGGUGUGUUUUGGGGUGUUUUGGGUGUGUUUGGGUGUGUUUUGGUGUGUUUUGGGGUGUUUUGGUCAGUUUUGGGUGUGUUUGGGUGUGUUUUGGGGUGUUUUGGUCAGUUUUGGGUGUGUUUGGGUGUGUUUUUGGGUGUUUUGGUCAGUUUUGUGGUGUUUUGGGUGUGUUUUGGGGUGUUUUUUGUCAGUUUUGAGUGUGUUUUGGGGUGUUUUGGUCAGUUUUGGAUGUGUUUGGGUGUGUUUUGGGGUAUUUUAAGUGUUUUUUUUGGGUAUUUUAAAGGAGUUUGGGUGUGUUUUGGGUGGCUAGGGGUGUGCUGUGGGUGGAUAAGGCUGUUUCUGGGUGUUUAAGUGGGUGUGCAUGCGUUUUGGAUGUGUUUUGGGGUGUAGAGAGAUAGACGUGAUGUGUGCAAGGUGCCUCAGUCCCUGGAUGGGUGUAGCAGUACGUGGUGGUGCUGUCUGGGUUUCGUGGUGUGGAGUGCAUGGAAAGGAACAGAUAAUUUAGGGCAGUUUAUCAUAUUUAAUUAUUUUGUUUAUUAAUUUAUUUACUAUUAUCAUUAUUUUUUAUUGUUUUUAAAGGGGGGUUAAUUUUUACGUUCAUCUUUUGUGUUCGGGAGUGGUUAGUGCUAUUGACAAAAAAGGGAGAUCGUUUUAUUUUUUAGUGUGGAAAUUGUCGCAUUUUAUCAGGUGUUGAUUGGUGUUGAGAGUCGCAGGUCCCGUCCCGCCCUCUGUCAUAAAAUAAACAAUAAAGGGUUGAUUUUC